UACGUAGGGGGCGAGCGUUGUCCGGAAUCAUUGGGCGUAAAGAGCGUGUAGGUGGACUGGAAGGUCUGGUGUGAAAGUCCGGGGCUCAACUCCGGAUCUGCGGUGGGUACGGGCAGACUAGAGUGCAGUAGGGGAGACUGGAAUUCCUGGUGUAGCGGUGAAAUGCGCAGAUAUCAGGAGGAACACCGAUGGCGAAGGCAGGUCUCUGGGCUGUAACUGACGCUGAGGAGCGAAAGCAUGGGGAGCGAACAGG
rnacentral:rRNA from 1 species